GACGAACGCUGGCGGCGUGCCUAAUACAUGCAAGUCGAACGCAGUGGGGACGGGUGAGUAACCCGUGGGUAACCUACCAUCAGAGGGGAUAACACUUGGCAACAGGUGCUAAACCGAUACUGAUGGAUGAACCCGCGGUGCAUUAGCUAGUUGGUGCGGUAACGGCUCACCAAGCCGAAGAUCGCUAGCUGUUCUGAGAGGAUGACCAGCCACACUGGGACUGGGACACGGCCCAGCCUCCUACGGGAGGCAGCAGUGGGGAAUAUUGCGCAAUGGGGGCAACCCUGACGCAGCCAUGCCGCGGGAAUGAAGAAGGCCGUCGGGUUGUAAAGUUCUUUCGGUAGCGAGGCGUUAGCUACAGAAGAAGCACCGGCUAACUCCGUGCCAGCAGCCGCGGUAAUUC
rnacentral:rRNA from 1 species